GAGGAAAAGAAACCAACAGGGAUUGCCCCAGUAACGGCGAGUGAAGCGGCAACAGCUCAAAUUUGAAAUCUGGCCCCCGGGUCCGAGUUGUAAUUUGUAGAGGAUGCUUUUGGCAAGGUGCCUUCCGAGUUCCCUGGAACGGGACGCCAUAGAGGGUGAGAGCCCCGUCUGGUCGGACACCGCGCCUCUGUAAAGCUCCUUCGACGAGUCGAGUAGUUUGGGAAUGCUGCUCUAAAUGGGAGGUAUAUGUCUUCUAAAGCUAAAUACCGGCCAGAGACCGAUAGCGCACAAGUAGAGUGAUCGAAAGAUGAAAAGCACUUUGAAAAGAGAGUUAAAAAGUACGUGAAAUUGUUGAAAGGGAAGCGAUUAUGACCAGACUUGGGCCUGUUUGAUCAACUUGGGUUCUCCCGGGUGCACUCUCUCAGGCCUAGGCCAGCAUCAGUUUGUCGCGGGGGAAAAAUGCUUUGGGAAUGUAGCUCCUCUCGGGGAGUGUUAUAGACCGUUGCGUAAUACCCUGCUUCGGACUGAGGUUCGCGCAUCUUGCAAGGAUGCUGGCGUAAUGGUCAUCAUCGACCCGUCUUGAAACACGGACCAAGGAGUCGUCUUCGUAUGCGAGUGUUCGGGUGUUAAACCCCUACGCGAAAUGAAAGUGAACGCAGGUGAGAGCUUCGGCGCAUCAUCGACCGAUCCUGAUGUUCUCGGAUGGAUUUGAGUAAGAGCAUACGGGGCCGGACCCGAAAGAAGGUGAACUAUGCCUGUAUAGGGUGAAGUCAGAGGAAACUCUGAUGGAGGCUCGCAGCGGUUCUGACGUGCAAAUCGAUCGUCAAAUAUGGGCAUGGGGGCGAAAGACUAAUCGAACCUUCUAGUAGCUGGU
rnacentral:rRNA from 1 species